CAGCCGCCACGGGAAUACGUAGGGUGCAAGCGUUACUCGGAAUUACUGGGCGUAAAGCGUGCGUAGGUGGUGGUUUAAGUCCGUUGUGAAAGCCCUGGGCUCAACCUGGGAAUUGCAGUGGAUACUGGGUCACUAGAGUGUGGUAGAGGAUAGUGGAAUUUCCGGUGUAGCAGUGAAAUGCGUAGAGAUCGGAAGGAACAUCUGUGGCGAAGGCGACUAUCUGGGCCAAUACUGACGCUGAGGUACGAAAGCAUGGGGAGCAAACAGGAUUAGAUACCCCAGUAGUCCCUGUCUCUUAUAC
rnacentral:rRNA from 1 species